rnacentral:rRNA from 1 species
CGGACGUAAAGAACUUGCCUCACAGCUAGGGACAACAUUUAGAAAUGAAUGCUAAUACCUGAUAUUAUGAUUUUAGGUCAUCUUAGAAUUAUGAAAGCUAUAAGCACUGUGAGAGAGCUUUGCGUCCCAUUAGCUAGUUGGAGAGGUAACAGCUCACCAAGGCGAUGAUGGGUAGCCGGCCUGAGAGGGUGAACGGCCACAAGGGGACUGAGGCACGGCCCUU